rnacentral:pre_miRNA from 1 species
CACAUACUCCCUCCGUCCGAAAAUACUUGUCAUCAAAAUGGACAAAAAAGGAUGUAUCUAAAACUAAAAUACAUCUAAAUACAUCCCCUUUUAUUCAUUUUGAUGACAAGUAUUUCCGGACGGAGGGAGUACAUG